CUAAAUCUGCUGUCUCACCAAAUUCCUCAUUAACAAUAGAUGUAGCAAGCACAAUGCCACCGACCUCUUUCUUCUUGUUGUUCUCUUCCACAUCCAAAGGUUGGCUUGAGCCUUUUAGCCUCAAAACGAUGUCAGAGUCACCAGAGGGUUCCCACUUCUUAAAAUGAUCUAAUUUCAUAUAUGAGUUUGAAGAUGGCUCAAUGCUGUCAAAGAGGGGAUCAUACUGGUCACCACCUGACCUAGGAAUAAUUUUCCCAACACCACUAGCAGAAGUUGGUGAAGUUGCCUCUUUUGGUCUAACACCCAGUCCAUCAACCGAAGCAUUACUCAAACCUAAAGGAUUAUCAUGCGUGCUACCAUAGGUUGUGCCUUUUUCUUGCCUGAAGACAUCAGAACUGAAUCUGGAGCUGAGUGGCUUCUCAAAGGUAGAUGCAUAAGGAUUAAAGUGAGUUGAAUUUCUUGACAAUCCAAAAUCAAGAUGUGAUGGCUGAUUUCUGUCUUGAAGAUCUGGUGGAUAUCCAGAUGAACUGAUUUUCCCAGGCAGACUAUAGACACUAUCAGGCACAGAAUGAUGCAAACUGUAGGGCACCUGUUGCCGCUGCAAGUAUGGCUGAUUGGUAGAAGACUUCAAAAUCUCUCCUGAAGCAAAAUUGUCACCAGAAAAAGAUUGCAUUUUGUUUGCAGGUCCUUGGGAAAAGGGUAUAGGUUGAGGGUAAUUGUUGCUCCGAAUGGAGUCUGAAACCCUUGCAGCCUGCAGUGGGAGCUGUUUUAAAUGAUCUCCUCCGAAAAGACCAGAUUGUUGACUGGAUGGGGUGCAUCCAGGUAAAGGUUUCAACUUAAAACCUUGCAAAUGUAUGGGAGGUUGAUGUGGCUCCUGCAAUGAAGGGUACGCUUGAUGCUGGAACUCACCAACCUGAGAAUUAACAGAGAAUUCAGUUGAGUAGGGUCUCAAGAACAUUUGAGAACCAAAGUCCCCCCUUGGAGGCAAGGAAAUCUGCUGAAAUUGCGAAGUAACACUUGGUUUUGCAGAGCCUGCAUUUCCAACUGGUCCAUGUGGUGGCAAUAGUGGUGGUGGCGGUGGCAACGUGGCAGAUGAGGAAUUUGAUGGUAGAGAAAAAAGAGAAUUGUGAUUGGGCAACAUAUAAGAGGGAAAAUUUUCCGAAGGAACAGAUUGAGAUUGAAAUGCUGCAGUCUGUGGCAUCAAGUUGCAAUCCCUUGAUAGCUGUGCCAUAUGUGAAGUAUUAUUGCCUUCUGCAUUUGGAGCAGAGGAAGGAACAGGGGGCAUCUGGGAAGGAUUAUGUACAGAAUCUGCAGAAUUUGGAAGAGUUUCUGUACCAUGAAGUUUCUUUGGAGAAGUUCUAGAUGUUUUAUUUGGUGAUGUAUCAGAUAUAGAAGAAUCGUCAGUUUGUUGGGCGUGAUUAUCAGCAUCUUCAAGCACCGGAUCUGACUGAACAGACUGAGAUUGUUGAAUCUUCAAGGAAGAAAUUACAUCCUGAGGAGUUUCACCAUGUGACUUCAUGAGGUUAGCAUCACUUGCACGUUUAGAGGGAAAACUAUCAACAACCAUUGGUUGGUCAGAUUCCAUUGCUUCCUGAAAAUUCUCACCUACACAAGUUGUACCAUCUUCAGAUCUUUCUUCAACUACUCUAGUUUUUGGCAAUUCAGCAACAAUCUGUCUAAAACUGUCAGAUUU
rnacentral:misc_RNA from 1 species